CUCAUGAUUUUUUCACCCGAAUUAUUCACCAUGUGCAGGGGACAACCAGAAACUUUUUCAGCAUCUUCCUGUAUUUCAGAACUAAAUGUGGAGUCUAAUCUACUCCAUAAUGAGAACUGGAAGUAGAGCAAUUGCUACUAGACAAACUUCUUUCCCAUGCUCCAAAACCAUUCAAGUUAUACAGAAUUCUUAUAGUUACAAUCAGUAUUGACA
rnacentral:misc_RNA from 1 species